AAGCUUUUAACUUAAUGGUAAAGUGCAAAAUUGAUAAUUUUGAUAUAUAAGUUCAAUUCUUAUAAAGCUUA
rnacentral:tRNA from 1 species